UGGUGAAAAAGGAUUCAUAUAGCUAACUCCAACUAAUUUGGGGUUAAGGUUUAGUUUUUAUUAUUGUUAUUUGUUUUGUCUAUUAUUAUUUAGGAAGUAGUAUUUUAUUUUAUUUAGGAAGUUUGAGUUUGUUUAGUUUUCCUAAUUUAUUUUGGUUUAGUAUCCCUAAUUAGUUUCAAUUAGUAGUAGUCGAUACACUAUAAAUACCUAUGUGUAGGUAUUUUAUUAUUAGUUUUGAUUAUUAUGAUAUUAUUAGCAAUUGAGAAUUAAUAUGAGAAUUUGUUUCUCUUGAUCCUGUUGUUCUCUUUGUUCUACACCUCUGAUACAACUUAAAUUAACCGAUCCGGCAGAACAACUCAAAAGAUAAAAAAGUAUCAUUAAUUUCUUCAUGCUCGUUCCAAGUUCGAAGUACCAUUUGUACAAAUAAGAAUCCCCUUCGUGGGAUCUAUGGGGCAAUUAAUUAGAAAUAAAUUUUGUGCAACAGCCCGUGGACAGUUUUUUGAAACUUAAGGACCAGUAUAUGAUGAUUUUGCAGUCAGUGAUAGCUGAUAUCACAAAAGGAACCAAAAUAUUAUCUUCAAUUCCUAUCUAGUUUGAAUUUUUUUUCUUGAAUCCUUGUCAAUCAGGUGGACAAUUGAGUUUCUUAAUAUUAUCUACUAUCACUGAUUCUUCUCACUAUAUGCUGCUGAGCUUCAAUGAUUAGCCUAAAAAAUAAUGAAGUUUUGGAUAAUAGUAAUGCAUGAUCAAAUUCAAGAACUAAUACUACUACAAGAUGAAGGUAGGUUAUAGUUCCUCUUUCUGAUGUAUCUUUAAUAAUCUAGGCUCAAAGCAUGAGGUUAUCGAUUAUAUGCUUUGAAACCUGAGUAGCUUAAUGGCCACCUUGUUGCUAUAGGUUGAAUAGGUUCAAUUCUCUAUGAUUUUUUCCUAUUAUUGUUUUCCCCCUUUUAACAAGGCAUGGACUUUGAAUGUUGCCUUCCUGCUGUAUUCAGGCACGUCUAGCAUUUUGCAAAUUCAUGGUGAAACCUUCAACUUUGCUGGUUCUGGAUGAACCAACUAAUCAUUUGGAUAUACCUUCAAAAGAGAUGCUUGAGGAGGCCAUAACAGAAUAUAAGGGUACAAUCAUCACAGUUUCUCAUGACAGAUACUUCAUAAAGCAAAUAGUUAAUAGAGUAAUUGAAGUUAAAGAUGGCCAGCUACAAGAUUAUGCAGGCGAUUACAAU
rnacentral:misc_RNA from 1 species